AGAAAGUAAGCAAGGGCAGACGGUGGAUGCCUUGGCUCUCGGAGGCGAUGAAGGACGUGAUAAGCUGCGAAAAGCUCGGGGGAGGCGCAAAUAGCCCUUGAUCCCGGGAUAUCCGAAUGGGGCAACCCGGCAGGCUGAAGGCCUGCCAUCCCGUAAGGGAGGCGAACGUGGGGAACUGAAACAUCUAAGUACCCAUAGGAGGAGAAAAUAAACAAUGAUUCCGUAAGUAGUGGCGAGCGAACACGGAAGAGCCCAAACCCGUGUCGUCUAGGCGACACGGGGGUUGUAGGACCACGACGUGGCAAGAUAGAGUCAAGUGGAACGCCUUGGAAAAGGCGACCGUAGAGGGUGAUAGUCCCGUACACGACUGACGAUUGAAGCCUAGUGGCAUCCUGAGUAGCGCGGGGCACGAGAAAUCUUGCGUGAAACUGCGGGGCCCAUCCCGUAAGGCUAAAUACUCCCGAGAGACCGAUAGCGAACCAGUACCGUGAGGGAAAGGUGAAAAGAACCCCGAGCAGGGGAGUGAAAUAGACCCUGAACCCGUCUGCCUACAAGCGGUCGGAGCAUCGUCAAGAUGUGACGGCGUGCCUUUUGCAUAAUGAACCUACGAGUUACCUUCCCCGGCAAGGUUAAGUACCUAAGGUACGGAGCCGAAGCGAAAGCGAGUCUGAAUAGGGCGGCCAGUCGGGGGGGGUAGACGCGAAACCGAGUGAUCUACCCUUGGCCAGGUUGAAGGUUGGGUAACACCAACUGGAGGACCGGAUGGGUAAGCGUUGAAAAGCUUUCCAAUGAGCUGAGGGUAGGGGUGAAAGGCUAAUCAAACUCGGAGAUAGCUCGUACUCCCCGAAAUGCAUUUAGGUGCAGCCUCUUUAUAGUAUAUCGUGAGGUAGAGCGACUGAUUGGAUGCGAGGGCUUCACCGCCUAUCAAGUCCAGAUAAACUCCGAAUGCGCGAUAUAUAUUUAAAGGGAGUGAGGGCGCGGGUGCUAAGGUCCGUGUCCGAGAGGAGAAGAAUCCAGACCACCGGCUAAGGCCCCCAAAUGAUCGUUGAGUUGAACUAACGAGGUCGGAUCGCAGAGACAGCUAGGAUGUUGGCUUGGAAGCAGCCAUUCAUUUAAAGAGUGCGUAACAGCUCACUAGUCGAGCGAUCUGGCGUGGAUAAUAAUCGGGCAUAAACGAUCUGCCGAAGCCGUGGAUGUCGUAAGACAUGGUAGGGGAGCAUUCCAUGGGCGUCGAAGAUGAGGGAUGACCCUUGUUGGAGCGCAUGGAAAAGCAAAUGUAGGUAUGAGUAACGAUAAGGGGGGCGAGAAACCCCCCCGCCGAAAGACCAAGGUUUCCUGAUCAACGCUAAUCGGAUCAGGGUGAGUCGGGACCUAAGGCAAAGCCGAACGGCGACGCCGAUGGAAGAAUGGGUUAAUAUUCCCAUACUGCCUCAUGGAGUGACGUGGAGACGGAGAAGUGACAGUCCUGCCGGCUGACGGAAUAGCCGGUUGAAGGGUGUAGAUAUUGAUUCCCGUAGGCAAAUCCGCGGGGAGAGUCGAACCUGAGAGUAUACGGAGCGCUUGCGCAACGUAAUAUGGACGUAACCAUGCUCCCGAGAAAAUCCGCUAAACUUAUCCAUGCGGCACCCGUACCGUAAACGGACACACGUGGUCGGGUUGAGAAUACUGAGGCGCUCGAGUGACUCACGGUUAAGGAACUAGGCAAAUUGACCCUGUAACUUCGGGAUAAAGGGUCCUCGUCGUAAGGCGAGGCGCAGAGAAUAGGUCCAGGCAACUGUUUAACAAAAACACAUGGCUGUGCUAAAUGGAAACAUGACGUAUACAGCCUGACACCUGCCCGGUGCUGGAAGGUUAAGAGGAGAUGUCAUCGCAAGAGAAGCGUUGAAUUGAAGCCCCAGUAAACGGCGGCCGUAACUAUAACGGUCCUAAGGUAGCGAAAUUCCUUGUCGGGUAAGUUCCGACCUGCACGAAUGGUGUAAUGAUCUGGACACUGUCUCAACCGUGAGCUCGGUGAAAUUGUAGUAUCGGUGAAGAUGCCGAUUACCCGCGAUGGGACGAAAAGACCCCGUGAACCUUUACUAUAGCUUUACAUUGAAUUUGGGCAGACGAUGUGUAGGAUAGGCCGGAGGCUUUGAAGGGGGUACGCCAGUAUCCUUGGAGCCGCCGUUGAAAUACGGCCCUUCGGUUGUUUGAGUUCUAACUCCUAGGCAGGAGGACACUGUAUGGUGGGUAGUUUGACUGGGGUGGUCGCCUCCAAAAGCGUAACGGAGGCUUCUAAAGGUGCCCUCAGACCGAUUGGUAACCGGUCGCAGAGUGUAAUGGCAUAAGGGCGCUUGACUGGGAGAGAUACAACUCGAUCAGGUAGGAAACUAGAGCAUAGUGAUCCGGUGGUUCCGCAUGGAAGGGCCAUCGCUCAAAGGAUAAAAGGUACUCCGGGGAUAACAGGCUGAUCAUUCCCAAGAGCUCAUAUCGACGGAAUGGUUUGGCACCUCGAUGUCGGCUCGUCACAUCCUGGGGCUGGAGAAGGUCCCAAGGGUUGGGCUGUUCGCCCAUUAAAGUGGCACGCGAGCUGGGUUCAGAACGUCGUGAGACAGUUCGGUCUCUAUCUAUCGUGGGCGCAGGAGAUUUGAGGGGCUCUGACACUAGUACGAGAGGACCGUGUUGGACGUACCACUGGUUUACCGGUUGUCCCGCCAGGGGCACCGCCGGGUAUCUAAGUACGGAUCGGAUAAGUGCUGAAAGCAUCUAAGUACGAAGCCGGCCUCAAGAUUAGAUCUCCCUCAAGGGUGGUUAUAGACGAUGACCUUGAUAGGCCACAGGUGUAAGGGCGGCGACGUCCGAGCCGAGUGGUACUAAUAGCCCGGGACUUUCCUCA
rnacentral:rRNA from 1 species